ACACUCCUACGGGAGGCAGCAGUGGGGAAUAUUGCACAAUGGGCGCAAGCCUGAUGCAGCCAUGCCGCGUGUAUGAGAAGGCCUUCGGGUUGUAAAGUACUUUCAGCGGGGAGGAAGGCGAUAAGGUUAAUAACCUUGUCGAUUGACGUUACCCGCAGAAGAAGCACCGGCUAACUCCGUGCCAGCAGCCGCGGUAAUACGGAGGGUGCAAGCGUUAAUCGGAAUUACUGGGCGUAAAGCGCACGCAGGCGGUCUGUCAAGUCGGAUGUGAAAUCCCCGGGCUCAACCUGGGAACUGCAUUCGAAACUGGCAGGCUAGAGUCUUGUAGAGGGGGGUAGAAUUCCAGGUGUAGCGGUGAAAUGCGUAGAGAUCUGGAGGAAUACCGGUGGCGAAGGCGGCCCCCUGGACAAAGACUGACGCUCAGGUGCGAAAGCGUGGGGAGCAAACAGGAUUAGAUACCCUUGUAGUCCCAUGAU
rnacentral:rRNA from 1 species